rnacentral:rRNA from 1 species
ACUUCUGGGAUAAGCCUGGGAAACCGGGUCUAAUACUGGAUACGACCCCCUGUCGCAUGGUGGGGGGUGGAAAGGGUUUGACUGGUUUUGGAUGGGCUCACGGCCUAUCAGCUUGUUGGUGGGGUAAUGGCUCACCAAGGCGACACGGGUAGCCGGCCUGAGAGGGUGACCGGCCACACUGGGACUGAGACACGGCCCAACUCCUACGGGAGGCAGCAGUGGGGAAUAUUGCACAAUGGGCGGAAGCCUGAUGCAGCGACCCGCGUGAGGGAUGACGGCCUUCGGGUUGUAAACCUCUUUCAGCAGGGAAAAGCCACAAGUGACGGUACCUGCAAAAAGCGCCGGCUAACUACGUGCCAGCAGCCGCGGUAAUACGUAGGGCGCAAGCGUUGUCCGGAAUUAUUGGGCGUAAAGAGCUCGUAGGCGGUUUGUCGCGUCUGCUGUGAAAAGCCCGGGGCUCAACCCCGGGUCUGCAGUGGGUACGGGCAGACUAGAGUGCAGUAGGGGAGACUGGAAUUCCUGGUGUAGCGGUGAAAUGCGCAGAUAUCAGGAGGAACACCGAUGGCGAAGGCAGGUCUCUGGGCUGUUACUGACGCUGAGGAGCGAAAGCAUGGGGAGCGAACAGGAUUAGAUACCCUGGUAGUCCAUGCCGUAAACGUUGGGCACUAGGUGUGGGGGACAUUCCACGUUCUCCGCGCCGUAGCUAACGCAUUAAGUGCCCCCGCCUGGGGAGUACGGCCGCAAGGCUAAAACUCAAAGGAAUUGACGGGGGCCCGCACAAGCGGCGGAGCAUGCGGAUUAAUUCGAUGCAACGCGAAGAACCUUACCAAGGCUUGACAUUCACCGGACCGCCUCAGAGAUGGGGUUUCCCUUCGGGGUCGGUGGACAGGUGGUGCAUGGUUGUCGUCAGCUCGUGUCGUGAGAUGUUGGGUUAAGUCCCGCAACGAGCGCAACCCUCGUUUAUGUUGCCAGCACGUGAUGGUGGGGACUCAUAGGAGACUGCCGGGGUCAACUCGGAGGAAGGUGGGGAUGACGUCAAAUCAUCAUGCCCCUUAUGUCUUGGGCUUCACGCAUGCUACAAUGGCCGGUACAAAGGGUUGCGAUACUGUGAGGUGGAGCUAAUCCCAAAAAGCCGGUCUCAGUUCGGAUUGAGGUCUGCAACUCGACCUCAUGAAGUCGGAGUCGCUAGUAAUCGCAGAUCAGCAACGCUGCGGUGAAUACGUUCCCGGGCCUUGUA